rnacentral:rRNA from 1 species
GAUGAACGCUGGCGGCGUGCUUAACACAUGCAAGUCGAACGAAGCAUUUGCGACAGAUUUUUUCGGAAUGAAGUUGCUUAUGACUGAGUGGCGGACGGGUGAGUAACGCGUGGGUAACCUGCCUUGUACUGGGGGAUAGCAGCUGGAAACGGCUGGUAAUACCGCAUAAGCGCACAAUGUUGCAUGACAUGGUGUGAAAAACUCCGGUGGUAUAAGAUGGACCCGCGUCUGAUUAGCUAGUUGGUGAGAUAACAGCCCACCAAGGCGACGAUCAGUGGCCGACCUGAGAGGGUGACCGGCCACAUUGGGACUGAGACACGGCCCAGACUCCUACGGGAGGCAGCAGUGGGGAAUAUUACACAAUGGAGGAAACUCUGAUGCAGCGACGCCGCGUGAGUGAAGAAGUAAUUCGUUAUGUAAAGCUCUAUCAGCAGGGAAGAUAGUGACGGUACCUGACGAAGAAGCUCCGGCUAAAUACGUG